CACGGGGGUUGCGAGCGUUGUCCGGAAUUACUAGGCGUAAAGGGCAUGCAGGCGGAUCCAUAAGUUUAUCGUUUAAGGCGUCGGCUUAACCGGCGUAGGGCGGUAGAUACUGUGGAUCUGGAAUGCGGUUGGGGAAGACAGAAUUCCUGGUGUAGCGGUGGAAUGCGCAGAGAUCAGGAGGAAUACCGAAGGCGAAGGCAGUCUUCCAAGCCGUUAUUGACGCUCAACUGCGAAGGUGUGGGUAUCAAACAGGAUUAGAUACCCGGGUAGUCCCUGA
rnacentral:rRNA from 1 species